UACAGAGGGGGCUAGCGUUGUUCGGAAGUACUGGGGGUAAAGGGUGCGCAGGUGGUUAGUUAAGUCUGAUGUGAAAUCCCUGGGCCCAACUCAGGAACUGCAUUGGAAACUGGCUAGCUUUGAGUACCGGAGAGGGAAGCGGAAUUCCUGGUGUAGCGGUGAAAUGCGUAGAUACCAGGAGGAACACCGGUGGCGAAGGCGGCUUCCUGGCCGAGUACUGACGCUCAUGCACGAAAGCGUGGGGAGCAAACGGG
rnacentral:rRNA from 1 species